rnacentral:rRNA from 1 species
GAACCGGCGAGUUACGAUCCCGUGCGAGGUUAAGCUGAAGAGGCGGAGCCGCAGCGAAAGCGAGUCUGAAUAGGGCGUUUAGUACGUGGUCGUAGACCCGAAACCAGGUGAUCUACCCAUGUCCAGGGUGAAGUUCAGGUAACACUGAAUGGAGGCCCGAACCCACGCACGUUGAAAAGUGCGGGGAUGAGGUGUGGGUAGCGGAGAAAUUCCAAUCGAACCUGGAGAUAGCUGGUUCUCCCCGAAAUAGCUUUAGGGCUAGCCUUAAGUGUAAGAGUCUUGGAGGUAGAGCACUGAUUGGACUAGGGGUCCUCAUCGGAUUACCGAAUUCAGUCAAACUCCGAAUGCCAAUGACUUAUCCUUAGGAGUCAGACUGCGAGUGAUAAGAUCCGUAGUCAAAAGGGAAACAGCCCAGACCGCCAGCUAAGGUCCCAAAGUGUGUAUUAAGUGGAAAAGGAUGUGGAGUUGCUUAGACAACUAGGAUGUUGGCUUAGAAGCAGCCACCAUUUAAAGAGUGCGUAAUAGCUCACUAGUCGAGUGACUCUGCGCCGAAAAUGUACCGGGGCUAAAUACACCACCGAAGCUGCGGAUUGAUACCAAUGGUAUCAGUGGUAGGGGAGCGUUCUAAGGACAGUGAAGUCAGACCGGAAGGACUGGUGGAGUGCUUAGAAGUGAGAAUGCCGGUAUGAGUAGCGAAAGACGGGUGAGAAUCCCGUCCACCGAAUGCCUAAGGUUUCCUGAGGAAGGCUCGUCCGCUCAGGGUUAGUCAGGACCUAAGCCGAGGCCGACAGGCGUAGGCGAUGGACAACAGGUUGAUAUUCCUGUACCACCUCUUUAUCGUUUGAGCAAUGGAGGGACGCAGAAGGAUAGAAGAAGCGUGCGAUUGGUUGUGCACGUCCAAGCAGUUAGGCUGAUAAGUAGGCAAAUCCGCUUAUCGUGAAGGCUGAGCUGUGAUGGGGAAGCUCCUUAUGGAGCGAAGUCUUUGAUUCCCCGCUGCCAAGAAAAGCUUCUAGCGAGAUAAAAGGUGCCUGUACCGCAAACCGACACAGGUAGGCGAGGAGAGAAUCCUAAGGUGUGCGAGAGAACUCUGGUUAAGGAACUCGGCAAAAUGACCCCGUAACUUCGGGAGAAGGGGUGCUUUCUUAACGGAAAGCCGCAGUGAAUAGGCCCAAGCGACUGUUUAGCAAAAACACAGCUCUCUGCGAAGCCGUAAGGCGAAGUAUAGGGGGUGACACCUGCCCGGUGCUGGAAGGUUAAGGAGAGGGGUUAGCGUAAGCGAAGCUCUGAACUGAAGCCCCAGUAAACGGCGGCCGUAACUAUAACGGUCCUAAGGUAGCGAAAUUCCUUGUCGGGUAAGUUCCGACCCGCACGAAAGGUGUAACGAUUUGGGCACUGUCUCAACCAGAGACUCGGUGAAAUUAUAGUACCUGUGAAGAUGCAGGUUACCCGCGACAGGACGGAAAGACCCCGUGGAGCUUUACUGUAGCCUGAUAUUGAAUUUUGGUACAGUUUGUACAGGAUAGGCGGGAGCCUUUGAAACCGGAGCGCUAGCUUCGGUGGAGGCGCUGGUGGGAUACCGCCCUGACUGUAUUGAAAUUCUAACCUACGGGUCUUAUCGACCCGGGAGACAGUGUCAGGUGGGCAGUUUGACUGGGGCGGUCGCCUCCUAAAGUGUAACGGAGGCGCCCAAAGGUUCCCUCAGAAUGGUUGGAAAUCAUUCGUAGAGUGCAAAGGCAUAAGGGAGCUUGACUGCGAGACCUACAAGUCGAGCAGGGACGAAAGUCGGGCUUAGUGAUCCGGUGGUUCCGCAUGGAAGGGCCAUCGCUCAACGGAUAAAAGCUACCCCGGGGAUAACAGGCUUAUCUCCCCCAAGAGUCCACAUCGACGGGGAGGUUUGGCACCUCGAUGUCGGCUCAUCGCAUCCUGGGGCUGUAGUCGGUCCCAAGGGUUGGGCUGUUCGCCCAUUAAAGCGGUACGCGAGCUGGGUUCAGAACGUCGUGAGACAGUUCGGUCCCUAUCCGUCGUGGGCGUAGGAAAUUUGAGAGGAGCUGUCCUUAGUACGAGAGGACCGGGAUGGACGCACCGCUGGUGUACCAGUUGUUCUGCCAAGGGCAUAGCUGGGUAGCUAUGUGCGGAAGGGAUAAGUGCUGAAAGCAUCUAAGCAUGAAGCCCCCCUCAAGAUGAGAUUUCCCAUAGCGUAAGCUAGUAAGAUCCCUGAAAGAUGAUCAGGUUGAUAGGUUCGAGGUGGAAGCAUGGUGACAUGUGGAGCUGACGAAUACUAAUAGAUCG